UCCAGACUCCUACGGGAGGCAGCAGUGGGGGAUAUUGCACAAUGGGGGAAACCCUGAUGCAGCAACGCCGCGUGAGUGAAGAAGUAUUUCGGUAUGUAAAGCUCUCUCAGCAGGGAAGAAAAUGACGGUACCUGAGUAAGAAGCCCCGGCUAACUACGUGCCAGCAGCCGCGGUAAUACGUAGGGGGCGAGCGUUAUCCGGAUUCACUGGGUGUAAAGGGAGCGUAGACGGCCGUGCAAGCCAGGAGUGAAAGCCCGGGGCCCAACCCCGGGACUGCUCUUGGAACUGUGCGGCUGGAGUGCGGGAGGGGCAGGCGGAAUUCCUGGUGUAGCGGUGAAAUGCGUAGAUAUCAGGAGGAACACCGGCGGCGAAGGCGGCCUGCUGGACCAUAACUGACGUUGAGGCUCGAAAGCGUGGGGAGCGAACAGGAUUAGAUACCCUAGUACA
rnacentral:rRNA from 1 species